GCACUACAUCCUCGGUCCUAAGCUCCUGUUGCCAAAUAGCACAAUCUGACGACCACAACCGGUGCACGUGGGUCUUCCCGUCUCUGACGUGUACACCAAUCCACCGUUUAAUUGUCGGCACAUUAGCCAAGAAAACAAUAAAUAAACACGCGUGGAACAAACCAGGCCGACCCCACACGGAUCCCUAAGACGGUCAACAUUUUCCUUGUUUUUAAUAUUUUUCAAAAUUUUCUGCUCCGACCGACUGGUUAGUGGUUAUUCUCUGUGCACGGCAGAGUCCAAAAUACGUGUCGUAAGCAGUGACAAAAUCAUUUCCUUGUGGAGUAUCAGCACGCAGGCACCCCCACUUGAGUUCUGCCACGUGUCCCGGCUGCUUUCAUGGAAAAAAAAACUCCUAUAAUGGAAAACGUUAUCACCCACGUGUAUUCUAGAAAUCACGCCCGCCUUGUGUCAUCCGCCUUUCCUCUCUAUAAAUUCGUGACUUUCUUUUGGGUUCUGAGUUUCAAGCGCCGUCACAGCAUUGCACCUCAAAGAGAGAGCGCGCGAGUGAGAGAGAAGAUUGAAUAUUAGUAGGUGUAGUCGACCAGUAGUUGAGAAGGACGGUAGAAAGGUGAAAAUGGCAGCGGCAGCGGCAGUAGCGUUGGAAUUACCUCCAGGAUUUAGGUUCCAUCCAACAGACGAGGAG
rnacentral:misc_RNA from 1 species